ensembl:misc_RNA Metazoa_SRP Metazoan signal recognition particle RNA
GCCAGGCAUGGUGGCCCAUGCCUGUAAUCCCAGCUACUCAGGAGGCUGAGACAGGAGAAUCACUUGAAUCCAGGAGGUGGAGGUUGCAGUGAGCCAACAUUGUGCCAUUGCACUCCAGCCUGGGUGACAGAGUGAGACUCCGUCUCAC